rnacentral:misc_RNA from 1 species
GUUGACAAUAUAAAUUGCUAAAAAGGUUUGUCCUAUGGGACCUCAUCUUGCAUAUAUCGGCUCGCUCAUCCCUAACUAAAGUAAACAAGUAAAGGCUCAAAGCAAAUCCUUGAAGUAAUCACGCUGUUCAGGGGGAAUCCUUAAUAUCAAUCAUCACCACAGCUUCUCGCACUUGUGAAGGCUCCUUCAUAAAUAUUCAUUAUCUCACUCUUAUCUAUCUUAUAUGAAUUCA